rnacentral:lncRNA from 1 species
UGUGCGACGCACAAUGCCUUCAAUUUCAAACCUAAUCAGUUAUAAAAUACUAGUAUUAUAUGAUCUUAUGCUAUAAUUAAACAAACAUGUAAACGCCAAAUUUAAAAUUUAUUUGAAUGCUUGGGGAGGUAAUUUUUUGGGAACCUUGAACUGGUCUUGUGAGUUUAUUUCAUGCUUUGGUAUCAUCAUAUUUCUGCUAGCUGUACUUUUACAAAAUUGACAUAAAAAAACUUUAUGGUUAUAAAAUAUAUGCAAGGCAUUUGGUAUUUUUGGGCAAUGAAACGACAAUGAAUUACUAGAAGAUAUGGGGGUAUCAACCACGGUUGUUGAUACAUUCCAAGUUUUAGGAAAAUUUGUUAAUUACGAAAACCGAAUCUCAACUGCUUCCUCUUACAAAUUCAGAAAUAUUACA